AUGGUAGAGAUUCAUUAUCAGUGCUGGGAUUACGUGUAUGCACCACUGAGACUGACUAUUCGCAAGUUCUGGGCCUUGAACUCAGCUCCUCACAACUUUGCGGCAAGCUCUUUGUCAACGGAGCCACACCCCCUCGCCUUAGAGACACUUGAUUGGUAUAGUUGGUUUGUUCCUGGCAUCUAGUGGAGAGAGGCCUGGGAUGGUGCCUCCUGGCUGGUUUCUCGUGUCAAUCUGAUACAAGCUAGAGAGAGAGGGGG
rnacentral:lncRNA from 1 species